rnacentral:lncRNA from 1 species
GGCCUCGAAUUCCGAAAAUCUUGCGGCCAAAAUGAGAGCUUCGGCGAUAAGGAAUCGAUUGCGAGAACAUCAACUUCAGCUCAAGAUAACACAACGUCAUCGACAGUUUACUCUGCGAAACCACGUG